rnacentral:lncRNA from 1 species
UUAACAGUGACAAAGUCUCAUCAGGAAUAAAUUGGACAGAUGCUCCCAUCACAAAAUCACCACUACAGCUGACACCAAUUGACUUUCUUAUUGGUCAUGUCAACAAAGAGUCAAUGAUUACAUGAGUAAGAAUUAUUAUCCUUCCAGAAAGGCUUUAGGAUGGCUAAAGAGUGAUGAAUGCAGUGUGUCUAGACUAUGUCUCAACUGGGAACAGCUAGAAAAGAGAUUGCUAUAAAAAAAAUUGCAAAGGAGGAUGUCCACGUGAUACUCUCACUGGGGAGAGAGAGAGACAACACCAGGAGCCACAAAGAGCUAUAUCGCAGGAAACACGGCUUAUUUUGGGGAUUAGCCAAAGGUGACUUCAUGCAAAAUGCCCUUCACAGCAGAGAAAAUCUGUUACUUCUGGGAAGUCAAAGGUGAGUGCAUUAAACUUGGUUUUCAUUCCAUGAUUUUGAUUAAUAAUGUUUCUUAAAGUAUGCGAUGUUUCUGUCGGGCUGUUACUCCUGAUGGCAUUGCCCUGAAGUUUCUUAACUUAUUGCAACUUGUCGCACUGUUUUUUAAAGUUUAGCGUGUCUUUUUAACUUCAUGAAGAACUAGAGUCAAAACAACUAAGAAUAAUCAACCAAAAAAAAAAAAGUGUGAAGAUACUUUUUUACAGCAUGAAGUGGAAACUAAUAUAAGUUUUCCGAUGCUCUUCUGUAGUGGAAAUGCUGAGUCACAGCCUGAAACAGUGAUAGAGCACCUGGUGGGAAGGCAGGGCCAACCCAGGGGAGCUCAGGUGCAAGCAGUGCAGCUGAGUGACUGCACCUGGUGGAGCCAAGGUCAGCCCCUACCCAGACCUCAUUUAAGGGUUGGCUGUGGAGGUGAGGGUAUCUCACUGGAGAUCCCUGCCUACUAGAGGUCUUCCAAAGGUAAGCAGCUUUUCUUCUUUUGUUUCUGCAUUGUGUGCUGCAUUUGGGUUUGUCUUCAUUUGCUGUAGCCUAAGAUUUGUGCCACUCUGCUGCUAUUGCAGUACUUUCCAUCACAUUAUAGUAUUAUAACUUCCAUUAGUUUGAUUAGACAUUCCUCACGGCCAAAGAACAGAAAGGGUUGUUUUUUUUGAAGUUCUGAAUCCCUUUUCCUGUUUUACUUUGCUGUUUUUUUUUAUUCCUUGGGCUACAUAUGUGAUGUGUACUUCUUUUUCAUCCUCUUCUGUCUUUAUAGUCUUUU